GGCCCGGACUCUCUUGCAGGUUCUACAUCGAGAGCGUGGCGUUCCUGAGGGACAGGAGCACGGUGGAGCUGUUCUUCCUGAACGCCAGGUGCUGCGUGCACAAGGGGCAGAUCGAAGCCGACAGCCAGACCGUCUUCAGGUUGGCCGCGCUGAUCUUACAGGAAGCCAAGGGAGAUUAUACCAGGUAAUAACUCCUUUUCUGAUAUUUACCCUGCUAAAACAGCCCCUCCCGGGAAUCCCUUGCUGUGCUGUUAAUUUAAAUAACAACGGACGGGAACUCAAAGGGAAGCGGGUCUCUAGGCAGGGGGGAGGCGGGGAGGCCUGGGAUCUCCUUCCCUCUGCAAAAUAGAGCCCUGUUCUUCCUGGGCUUGCACGUUUUCCAAGCCAGAACGACAGGGAAUCGCAAACGCCUCUGUCCCCUCACCUGUGGAUUAUUAGCAAGGUGCAGAAGCCUAUAAAGAGCUGUGGCCAUUUGUGCUGAGUUUUUUUUUUU